rnacentral:misc_RNA from 1 species
GGAAGUAAGAGUCGUGACAAGGUUUCCGUAGGUGAACCUGCGGAAGGAUCAUUAUUGUAUAACCGAGGUGCGAGGGCUGUCGCUGACCCGAAAGGUCGUGCACGCCCGAGUGCCCUCACACACAUCCAUCUCACCCCUAUGUGCACCACCGCGUGGGUCCCCCUUUGGCUUGUUCGGAGGGGGGCUUACGUUUUCACACAAACUUUGUAUGCAGUGUAGAAUGUAUUUUUUGUUUUUGCGAUCACGCAAUCAAUACAACUUUCAACAACGGAUCUCUUGGCUCUC